rnacentral:rRNA from 1 species
GACGAAGGUGGCGAGCGUUGUUCGGAAUCACUGGGCAUAAAGCGCACGUAGGCGGUGCCGUAAGUCGGAUGUGAAAUCCCUCGGCCUAACCGAGGAACUGCGUCCGAUACUGCGGUGCUUGAGGAUCAGAGGGGUGCAUGGAAUUUCCGGUGGAGCGGUGAAAUGCGUUGAUAUCGGAAGGAACUCCGGUGGCGAAAGCGGCGUGCUGGACCUUUUCUGACGCUGAGGCGCGAAAGCUAGGGGAGCAAACGGG